rnacentral:lncRNA from 1 species
AGUACUCGCCGGGGUUCAACUGUUUUGUGUAUUUGUCAACCAAGGGGGGGUUUAGAACGCUUGAGACCCUGAGCUCUCUUCGGGGUUGGAAAGAUAGAUUUUUCUUUGUAAAGCCCCAGGAUCCCGACCAUUCUUUUAGCCCGAGGUGGGAGAUCCCUAGUAAGGAUAGGUUAAAUGAGGGUCAGGCGUAUUUUGAGGUUCUAGAGAGUGACAGAUUAAGGUUAGUUAACCACGACCCCUUGGCAGAGAAGAUCGAUUAUUUGCUCGAGGAUGACACCCUCGACCUCACAAAUGUAAAAGGCCUCGAGGGUAUGUCUUUUACUUUUUAAGCUCUAUCGUCGUAUUCUUGACGUUGAGAUCAUGCUAAUGCCUUGUGAUUUGUUUCUUGCAGAUCUAGAGAUGUCUUUUGUUCCUUCCAAAUUGCUGGCCAAUGUCCAUUAUAAGGCCAAGGGGCCGAUGUCUAAAGCCCCGACCUCAAAAAAGGGGAUGAAGAUGGCCAAGCACGCCAUUGUUAGGGUGCCUGAAAUGGAUCUUGAGAGCCCGACGCCUCCUAGGGGUCAACCCUCGAUGUCAAGGAGCCCGACCUCAACGCCUCAUACGAAGUCGAAAUAUGAAGAUCGUGCUCAGGGUUGUUAUCGCGUCGUGGAUUCAGGUUUCGAGCCUAUCUCAGAUAGUGCCCUCGAGGAAUACACGGAGUGUGCCCUGGUGAAGGACCUUAUUGAAAGGUUCGAGAAGGAGGUUAACAUUAAUGAAGGAGUCAAGAUACUGGAGGCUUUGAGCUUAAGGGUAAGAUACCGACCUUAAAAUGUAUUUUUUAUUUUUUCAUCUUCUUUGAUCGAACUGACUUCGGACUUCCUUUCCUUCUUUGUGCAGACGCUGAGUGUGGCACGAGGUCUUACUUUGAAUGGUAUCAACAUCUCGAACGAAAUGGACGAGGUUUUAAAGGAAAAAGAGCAAGCUGAAAAGCGAGCUCGUGACCUGGAAAAAGCUCUCAAGACUACUGAGGCUGACCUCAAGAAGUCCCGAGAGGAACUGGAGACAUCCAAGGUUGAGGUUGAGAAAGUUAAGCUCGAGCUUCUCCAGUCCCAGAGGAGCUUUGGGGAAGAGCUGGCAAAGGCUCGUGAUGAGGCUCGAGCUCAGGCUGUUGAAGACUUCUAGAAGUCCGACGAGUUUGGGACCCUAUUGGGACAGUAUGGGUCGGGCUCUUACCAUUACGGGCUUCGCCUUGCCUGUUCUUAUCUUCGCACGAAGAUGCCUGAGGAUUUAAAGUCCCUGGUCGAGGAUUUGAAGACAGUGAACGAGCUCGCAGGGGAGCUCGAACUUUCGGCUUCUGAGGUCGAGGACGAUGGUGGAGAGGAUGAUGAUGAUGGUGAUGGAGAUGACGCCGGGACUGGCGAUCAAGGGGAGGAUGUCAGGGUUGUAGAUAUCGAUUAGGUUGUUAACUUUGUUUUAAAAAUUUUUGUAAUAUUGCCCGAACUAGGCUGAUACUUUUGUUAUUAAUUUCAUCGAUCAAUGUUCGUGCACAUUACUUUGUUUUUAAUUUAUUGAUGAAUGUUUAUGCAUACUACUGUUUUCAAUUUAUUGAUAAAUGUUCGUGCACUUGUGUUUGUUUGUUUUCAACGCUUUGGUGCUCGAUCAACGCUUUGG